CAAUUGGGGUUUGCUUGCAGACGAAGAAGCUCACUUCUCUGCACAGGAAGCAUUCAGUUUUUCUUUCUCCGAACCCUGGGUUUUGGCUGAUUUUGGAGUUCAAGAGGCUCGGAUUUCACUCUUGAGUGUUUGAUUAGUUGGGAAUGCUAUUGCUGGAAGUUUUGAAUUCUAGGGAUUCUCUUUGAAAAGCGGUGGAGCUAUAUUCGGUUUGGAAAAAAAAGGCAAGAUCUUUGUUUAACUCUAAACAAAAUUCUGAUUGAAUGAAUUUUGGUGACCAAACACCAGCAAUAUGUGAAAUGGAGUGAUGGAGGAUAAAAGGGUUACUGGAAUUUUGUGGGGGAGCUGUAACAUGAGAGAGUUAUACACAGCCACAACCACAUCCACACCUAAUUGUAACCCUCGCCUAAUCCAUGCGCAAGCCAUCAAAAGCGCCAUCACCGACCGCUCCUUUUACAACUCUCUCAUCACUCUCUAUUCUAAAUCCAACCUCUUAUCUAAAGCUGUUCGUAUCUUCCACCACCACAUCCCUUCCCCCAAUGUUGUCUCAUGGACUGCCCUCAUCUCUGCCUAUGCCUCCACCUCAUUCGCUCUUCUUCACUUCAUUUCCAUGCUCCGCCACCCCACUCUUCCCAACCAGCGCACCUUGGCCUCCCUUCUCAAGACUUGCGCCUCCCUUCCUUCUCUCUCCUUCGGCCUCCAACUCCACUCUCUAUCCCUCAAGCUCUCCCUCUCUGCCCAACCAUUUGUCAGCUCCGCGCUUGUCAACUUUUACUCCAAAUGUCGGUUGCCGCUUGAGGCUUGCAGGGUGUUCGAUGAAAUUACAGAGAGAGAUGAGGUUUGUUUCGCAGCGAUGAUUGUUGGCCUUGCCCAGAAUGCACGGCCUGUGGAUGCACUUCUGGUGUUUGGUGAAAUGAAGGCUUGCAAUGUGGGGUCUACGAUGUACAGUGUGUCUGGGGCGUUACGGGCUGCAUCAGAGCUGGCGGCGUUGGAGCAAUGUAGGAUAAUCCAUGGCCAUGCUGUCUCUACUGGAUUUGAUUCAAAUUUGAUUGUAGGGACUGCUUUGGUUGAUGGGUAUGGGAAGGCGGGGCUUGUCUUAGAUGCUAGGCGGAUUUUUGAUGAACUGUUGCCAAGUUUGAAUGAGGUGGCCUGGAACGCGAUGAUGGCGGGUUAUGCACAGCAGGGGGAUCAGAGGUCGGUGGUUGAGCUCUUUAAUUCCAUGGAAGCUCGAGGGCUUGUACCGGAUGAAUAUAGCUUUUUGGCAAUCCUAACAUCAUUGUAUAAUGCAGGCUUGGUCGGUGAGGCUGAGGGGUGGUUGACCAGGAUGAAGGUUGAUUAUGGGUUGGAACCAGGGUUAGAACAUUAUACGUGUUUGGUGGGAACAAUGGGCCGAGCAGGGCAAUUGGAGGAUGCAGAGAGGAUUGCUAUGACAAUGCCAUUUGAGCCAGAUGCUGCGGUGUGGCGAGCAUUACUGUCCAGUUGUGCAAUGCAUGGUGCAGCGGACAUGGCUUGGGCUAUGGGAAGACGUCUAAUGGAACUUGACCCACAGGAUGACUCUGCUUAUGUGAUUGUUGCAAAUGUUUUGGCCACCAAUGGGAGGUGGGAUGAAGUAGCUGAAGUGAGGAAAAUGAUGAAAGAUAGGAUGGUGAAGAAGGAGGGUGGGAGGAGUUGGAUUGAAGUGCGAGGGAAGGUUCACGUGUUUUUAGCGGGGGACAGAAGGCAUGAGAGGAGCCAUGAAAUCUAUGCAAAGUUAGUAGAGCUGAUGGAGAAGAUUGAGGAAUUGGGUUACAGUCCAGUCUUGAAAGAGAUGUUGCAUGAAGUAGAAGAGGGUGUGAAAAAGGAAACCCUUUGGUACCACAGUGAGAAGUUGGCAGUGGCAUUUGGGGUGGUGAGUGAUGCAGCACCGCCUGGAAAGGCGUUACGGAUUGUGAAGAACUUGAGGAUUUGUAAAGAUUGUCAUGAAGCUUUUAAGUAUAUAAGUUGUGUGGUGGAGAGGGAGAUUAUAGUGAGGGAUGUCAACAGAUACCAUAGAUUUUUGAAUGGUACUUGUACUUGUGGAGAUUAUUGGUAACCCAUGUCAACCUGAAAAAUGCCAGACUAUCAAUUUUGAUUGUAAACUCAUUUUAGAUCUUAGGCAGUGUAACUUAACUCUGAGCAGAUUCAGUUCUAUAGUUGGCCAAACUCUGAAUUCCAUUUUGAGGGGAUGCAUUUGGUGCUACAUCAAAGGAUGAUCUUUUGUAUCCUCAAUUAGUGGAACACUUAGAAGUUUGUGUUGUUUCACAUAGAAAGCCUGCAGAAGGUAUGAACCUCAAAUCAUGCCCACUGGUUUUUGCUUAGUUAAUCCCAACCUACUUGGACCUCAUCAAACAAACUGCCUUGCUACAAAGAAAUUGAUAGGGGUGCUAUUAGAGGUUCUGCUUAUUAAUCAUACUUUUUUCUUUUAAUGAUUUUUUUCUCGGUCCAUUUUUGUCCUAUUAAUGCUUUAUUUGAUGGUAGUUAUUUUUCAACCAUUCAGACACUUAAUAAGGGAAUUUUUUGAAGCUUAUGUAAGGGUGGUCAACAUUUCGAACAUUGAACCUUUUGAAAUCCUUCUCCUACUUGUACAAUUUUUUUAUGUUUUGGUUGAUGUUAUUGCUUCCUAAGGAAAUAAAUGAAUAUGUAUUUGUUUUUUAUAUGUUAUGUCAAUUGUAUAAACUGCCAUAAUGGUUGGUAUCUUAUUGUUCAAGGUGGUUAAAUUUUAUGUUA